rnacentral:misc_RNA from 1 species
GCCAUCUGUGACACGCAAAUAAAAAAAAACAUUUCAGUUAACAGUUAUUUUUCGACAUUGUGAUCUAGUGGCGCUUAUAAUUAGUGAGAGUACAAACUCUUUAAAUACUGACGUGCUGAUAUUGUAAAGCAGUUUUAAUGUCAGCAACAAAUUUCAUUCAAUUUAAUAGGAUAAAUACUGAAACAAAUUUCCGUGUCAAGUCAAAGAAUGUCUUCAAACGCUUCGUUUUUCUCUAAUGUGUCGUACAGACGAGUCGAGAGAGAUUGAACUGCCGCUUAAUGAAGACGGGAAAGCAUCUAUGGAUGAAAUUCUUUCCACCGUAGCGAUUGAUUGAAAUAAGUUCGGUUUUUACGAUGAUUCGCUGCUCGACCAUUAGUUGAUUUUCAUUAUAUUUGCCCGUCAACGCUUACGUCCAUUUCGGCUUCGGUGUCACUGGCAUCGCAGCCGUCGUAGGUCUGACCAUCGGCUUGGCGCUCUACUUCAACGAUUGCGUCGAACUCGCCUACUACGUCAUCAUUAUCUCAGGGUUCAUAUUGUUGUUAGUAGUGGUUGGAGUCUCGAUUUCAGUGCGGUGUCUGCUUACGAGGCCGCAAGUUUCUGCCAGACAUUCAGGAACUUCACGUUUGAAUUUGGACCCUCCGCCUCCAUACCAGAAAAGUUGGGGCAAGGAAUACUAUCGACAACAAAGCGACGAAGCUAGAAGUUCUCACUCUUCUGACAUAGCUUCCGAAAAUAAUUCAAACCAAAUAUUCCACAUCUCCACCUCAACACUUACCGAAGGAAACAAACCGCAAGACUUUCAACAAGUUUUACAAGAUUUGGAAGCAGGUGAUAAUGAAUUACCGAACUACGAAGAAGCCAUUCGACAGCUUAGUGUUUCUGAACUAGACAAAGUUGCCUAUCAUUCUGAGAAAACCUCAUCGAAUUAUCACUUUUCUCUUACCCCACAUUUUUCCUGGUCACAAACUUUGCAUUUGAACAGUCAAGAACCAGUUUCUUACUCGAGUAACAAUUCUAGUGACAUUAGUGCAGUAGCCUCACAGUCGAUUAGUUUCCCACGCAAAAAUGAUACAAAAUCUUUCAGAAUCAAGUGCCGUUUAGCAGCUGAAAAUUUGACCGCUCCCGUGCAUUGUUCUCGCUCGUGAAAAUGACUUGUAAAUCCUUCCUUCGUUCGAGCUUCAGUAGGGCUUUACAUAUGUAGAAUAGAAGUCUUAAUAUUUAGUUUAUACUUUAUUUGUAUAGGAUUACAAAAAUGCGUUUUUUCAUUGGAGUUAAAUUCAUAGAUGAUUAUAUUGAUAAUAGGCCUCAUUUUUCUGGUACAUAUGUGAAUAUGUUAAUUAUAUUGAAUAAAUCGAACAUUUCUUUUACUACCAAUCACACCAUUUUCUGCAUUUACAAGCUUCCGAAAUUUCAUCAAGGAUGAAAUGAAUGGAAAUAAUAAAAUAUGUGCUAUACUUAAAUGAAAAUUCUGAGCAAUAAACCCAGAAAUCCUAUUACAACGUACAUGCAAUCACCUAAAAAAUAUGGCAAUGAAAAUUUCCAAUUAAUUCUCGAAUUGCGGUUUACGGCUUCAAUAGGCAAAUGCACAGUAUAAAAUAUAUUAUAUAAUUGAACAAAAUUUCUCGUACUAGACUUAGAAAUUUGAAUUGCAGCGGUCGAACCAUUCGAAGUUUGUGAAAUUCAAACCAUGAGUUUUUCUGAAAAUCUUCGUGUUUCUAUCGCAAAAAAAAACUAAUAAUUACGUGUAUUUUAUUAAUCAAAUUAUUUAUUAUUGUGGAAUAAAAACUAAUAACCUCAGAUUUGAUAGUUAUAAGUUAAAUUUCCGCCUAUCCACAGAAAAAAAUUAUAUUUUAUUCGUCAUUGUCUAAGGUCCUUCCGGCUAAAUACAAUUACUUUUUGAUGUGAAGAAAAUUAGUGGGGUGUGAAUAUUGUUCAUUUUUUCUAUGUAAUAGUCUGGCAUGCCUGUUAAAAAUACUGCAGAGAUAACUCAAAAAAAUUUUAUAGCAAAAAUUAUCGGUCGGUGGGGAUACUAUCUAUGAACAUUGACUACAAUAACGAGACAGUCUUAUAGGUACAUAAAAUAUUAAACAAUAAUAGCAUACCUACACAACAGAACCCUCUAGGGGAUUAUGAGGAUAACUUAGAUUUAUCGAACUUUUUGACUCGCUAAUUUAGCAAACUGAAGUUAAUAAAUACUGGCUUAGUCUCUUAAACUCGAACGAAUUGAAUGGAUAGAAUAUCCUCGCUUGACACUUGUUUCAUGGAAUAUAUUUUUUUAAUUUCGGUAAAA